UACGUAGGGGGCCAGCGUUGUCCGGAAUCAUUGGGCGUAAAGCGCGCGUAGGCGGCCAGAUAAGUCCGGUGUGAAAGUCAAAGGCUCAACCUUUGAAUGCCGCUGGAAACUGCCUGGCUUGAGUCCGGAAGGGGCGAGUGGAAUUCCUGGUGUAGCGGUGAAAUGCGCAGAUAUCAGGAGGAGCACCAAUGGCGAAGGCAGCUCGCUGGAACGGUACUGACGCUGAGGCGCGAAAGCGUGGGGAGCGAACAGG
rnacentral:rRNA from 1 species